UGCCAGACUCCUACGGGAGGCAGCAGUGGGGAAUAUUGCACAAUGGGGGGAACCCUGAUGCAGCGACGCCGCGUGGGUGAAGGAGUAUUUCGGUAUGUAAAGCCCUAUCAGCAGGGAAGAACAAUGACGGUACCUGACUAAGAAGCACCGGCUAAAUACGUGCCAGCAGCCGCGGUAAUACGUAUGGUGCAAGCGUUAUCCGGAUUUACUGGGUGUAAAGGGAGCGCAGGCGGCGCGUUAAGCCUGGUGUGAAAGCCCGCGGCCCAACCGCGGGACUGCAUUGGGAACUGGCGCGCUGGAGUGCCGGAGGGGUAGGCGGAAUUCCUAGUGUAGCGGUGAAAUGCGUAGAUAUUACACAGAACACCGAUUGCGAAGGCAGCUUGCUAGGCCGGAUCUGACACUGAUGCACGAAAGCGUGGGGAUCGAACAGGAUUAGAUACCCCUGUAA
rnacentral:rRNA from 1 species